UCUCUCCACAGUCACUGAGCACACAGGACCUCAGCAUGGGAUGGAGCUGGAUCAUCCUCUUCCUCCUGUCAGUCACUACAGGUGUCCACUCCCAGGUCCAGCUGCAGCAGUCUGGUCCUGAGCUGGGGAAACCUGGUUCUUCUGUGAAGUUGUCCUGCAAGGCUUCUGGCUACACCUUUGCCUACUACUAUGUGCACUGGGUGAAGCAGAGGCCUGGACAGGGCCUGGAGUGGGUUGGAAGCAUAUUUCCUGGAACUGGUUAUACUGACUACAAUCAGAAGUUCAAGGACAAGGCCAAAAUGACUGCAGAUAAAUCCUCCAGCACAGCCUACAUGAAUCUCAGCAGCCUGACCUCUGAGGACUCUGCAGUCUAUUACUGUGCAACACACAGUGUUGUAACCACAUACUGA